rnacentral:lncRNA from 1 species
UCGGGAACGGGAACCAAACCGGGAUUGGCCCCGGGAGCCCCCUCGGAGCGGCCUCGAGCCGCUGCGGGAUGUGCUGGGGGCGGCUCGACCCCUCCGGGACCCUCCGGGACCCUCCCGGUUCCUCCCGGUUCCUCCCGGUCCCUCACGCCGCGCUCCCGCCGCGUUCCCGGAAGUGCCGCCCCUCCGCCCUCAGCCAAUCAGCAGCGGGAACAGCGCGCUCUGCUCCACGUGACUCACAAGCGCCGCGUUCAUUGGUUGAUACGCGUAGCGUCCCAGCCAAUCACCAGCGGGAAAAAAAGACUCGCAGUUGUCCCGCCCACUGGUGAUGGACGUGCGGCUCCAGCCAAUCAGCAGCGAGGAGGGCGUGGCCAUCGCGCUCAGACUCCGCCCCCCGCGCGGUUUUGGGGCGAAUUGCGGCGAUUUUGGGUCUGGCAAUGGCGGGGGCGCCGUUCAAUGGCUUUAUUGGGGGUCAUCGUCAAGGGGGAAACCCAGGCGGGGGUCGCAGGUGCCCCCAGGUCAGGGGUCAAUGUCCCAAAUGUCCCCCCGGGUCAGGGGUCACGGGGUGUCCCCAGGGGAGGGGUCCCGGUGUCCCCAGGGGAGGGGUCCCGAUGUCCCCGCUGUCCCCAUGGGAGGGGUCCCGGUGUCCCCAGGGGAGGGGUCCCGGUGUCCCCAAUGUCCCCAAUGUCCCCCGGGGAGGGGUCCCGGUGUCCCGCUGUCCCCAUGGGAGGGGUCCCGGUAUCCCCAGGGGAGGGGUCCCGGUGUCCCCAAUGUCCCCCGGGGAGGGGUCCCGAUGUCCCCAAUGUCCCCAGGGGAGGGGUCCCGGUGUCCCCCGGGGAGGGGUCCCCGCGCCCCCCGGGCUCAGAGCUGCCGGGGGGGCAGCACCACGCGGUGCAGGACGCGCCCGGUGGCCUCCAGGAAGGUGACGGUGGCAGCGCCGGGCUCCAGGCGCAGGUGGGCGAAGCCCCCGGGGCUCGCGGGGCUCCCGAAGAAGAAGCGGAGGGAACCGGGGGGGACGGAGCCGAGGUGGGGCCGCGAAUCCUCCAUGAAAUUCCCGGCGCCGCUCAGGAUGUAGCCCACCCCCCC